rnacentral:rRNA from 1 species
CCCAGGCGCAAAGCGGCGUGCUAACCAUGCAAGUCGAACGAUGAAACCCAGCUUGCUGGGUGGAUUAUUGGCAAACGGGUAAGAAACACGUGAGUAACCUGCCCUUGACUCUGGGAUAAGCCUGCGAAACUGGGUCUAAUACCGGAUAGGAACGUCCACCGCAUGGUGGGUGUUGGAAAGAUUUAUCGGUCAUGGAUGGACUCGCGGCCUAUCAACUUGUUGGUGAGGUAAUGGCUCACCAAGGCGACGACGGGUAGCCGGCCUGAGAGGGUGACCGGCCACACUGGGACUGAGACACGGCCCACACUCCUACGGGAGGCAGCAGUGGGGAAUAUUGCACAAUGGGCGAAAGCCUGAUGCAGCGACGCCGCGUGAGGGAUGACGGCCUUCGGGUUGUAAACCUCUUUCAGUAGGGAAGAAGCGAAAGUGACGGUACCUGCACAAGAAGCACCGGCUAACUACGUGCCAGCAGCCGCGGUAAUACGUAGGGUGCGAGCGUUAUCCGGAAUUAUUGGGCGUAAAGAGCUCGUAGGCGGUUUGUCGCGUCUGUCGUGAAAGUCCGGGGC